rnacentral:rRNA from 1 species
GAUGAACGCUGGCGGCGUGCCUAAUACAUGCAAGUCGAGCGAACAGACGAGGAGCUUGCUUCUCUGACGUUAGCGGCGGACGGGUGAGUAACACGUGGAUAACCUACCUAUAAGACUGGGAUAACUUCGGGAAACCGGAGCUAAUACCGGAUAAUAUAUUGAACCGCAUGGUUCAAUAGUGAAAGACGGUUUUGCUGUCACUUAUAGAUGGAUCCGCGCCGCAUUAGCUAGUUGGUAAGGUAACGGCUUACCAAGGCGACGAUGCGUAGCCGACCUGAGAGGGUGAUCGGCCACACUGGAACUGAGACACGGUCCAGACUCCUACGGGAGGCAGCAGUAGGGAAUCUUCCGCAAUGGGCGAAAGCCUGACGGAGCAACGCCGCGUGAGUGAUGAAGGUCUUCGGAUCGUAAAACUCUGUUAUUAGGGAAGAACAAAUGUGUAAGUAACUAUGCACGUCUUGACGGUACCUAAUCAGAAAGCCACGGCUAACUACGU